rnacentral:tRNA from 1 species
GAGGGUAUAGCUCAGGGGUAGAGUGCAUGCUUAGCAUGCAUGAGGUCCUGGGUUCAAUCCCCAGUACCUCCA